rnacentral:rRNA from 1 species
GAGUAACACGUGGAUAACCUACCUAUAAGACUGGGAUAACUUCGGGAAACCGGAGCUAAUACCGGAUAAUAUUUUGAACCGCAUGGUUCAAAAGUGGAAGACGGUCUUGCUGUCACUUAUAGAUGGAUCCGCGCUGCAUUAGCUAGUUGGUAAGGUAACGGCUUACCAAGGCAACGAUGCAUAGCCGACCUGAGAGGGUGAUCGGCCACACUGGAACUGAGACACGGUCCAGACUCCUACGGGAGGCAGCAGUAGGGAAUCUUCCGCAAUGGGCGAAAGCCUGACGGAGCAACGCCGCGUGAGUGAUGAAGGUCUUCGGAUCGUAAAACUCUGUUAUUAGGGAAGAACAUAUGUGUAAGUAACUGUGCACAUCUUGACGGUACCUAAUCAGAAAGCCACGGCUAACUACGUGCCAGCAGCCGCGGUAAUACGUAGGUGGCAAGCGUUAUCCGGAAUUAUUGGGCGUAAAGCGCGCGUAGGCGGUUUUUUAAGUCUGAUGUGAAAGCCCACGGCUCAACCGUGGAGGGUCAUUGGAAACUGGAAAACUUGAGUGCAGAAGAGGAAAGUGGAAUUCCAUGUGUAGCGGUGAAAUGCGCAGAGAUAUGGAGGAACACCAGUGGCGAAGGCGACUUUCUGGUCUGUAACUGACGCUGAUGUGCGAAAGCGUGGGGAUCAAACAGGAUUAGAUACCCUGGUAGUCCACGCCGUAAACGAUGAGUGCUAAGUGUUAGGGGGUUUCCGCCCCUUAGUGCUGCAGCUAACGCAUUAAGCACUCCGCCUGGGGAGUACGACCGCAAGGUUGAAACUCAAAGGAAUUGACGGGGACCCGCACAAGCGGUGGAGCAUGUGGUUUAAUUCGAAGCAACGCGAAGAACCUUACCAAAUCUUGACAUCCUUUGACAACUCUAGAGAUAGAGCCUUCCCCUUCGGGGGACAAAGUGACAGGUGGUGCAUGGUUGUCGUCAGCUCGUGUCGUGAGAUGUUGGGUUAAGUCCCGCAACGAGCGCAACCCUUAAGCUUAGUUGCCAUCAUUAAGUUGGGCACUCUAAGUUGACUGCCGGUGACAAACCGGAGGAAGGUGGGGAUGACGUCAAAUCAUCAUGCCCCUUAUGAUUUGGGCUACACACGUGCUACAAUGGACAAUACAAAGGGCAGCGAAACCGCGAGGUCAAGCAAAUCCCAUAAAGUUGUUCUCAGUUCGGAUUGUAGUCUGCAACUCGACUACAUGAAGCUGGAAUCGCUAGUAAUCGUAGAUCAGCAUGCUACGGUGAAUACGUUCCCGGGUCUUGUACACACCGCCCGUCACACCACGAGAGUUUGUAACACCCGAAGCCGGUGGAGUAACCUUUUAGGAGCUAGCCGUCGAAGGUGGGACAAAUGAUUGGGGUGAAGUCGUAACAAGGUAGCCGUAUCGGAAGGUGCGGCUGGAUCACCU